UUCACAUUCGCAGGAGCGUGCCCUGCUUUGGAGGGCAGGGUGACUCACUGGAGCACGUCAGCUGGAUGGACAUGUAGUCCCGGCCGCAGUCCUUCCUGUAGCGGCAGCGCAGCCAGUUGGAGAGGCAGAGCCCGGUGCCACACUGCAGUUCUUCCUUCUUACAUGGCAGAAUGCUUUGCUCAUAGAGGCUGGAGUUACUGCCUAUCCCAAUGCGGAUGGAGCUCGCAGAGAUGAGAGGGAGAUGGAAGAAAAGAACCCAGCCCGCGGCGGCGGUCGCUGUCUCCAUGCGCCUCGGCCGCGGCUCCCCGGCGGCGGGCGGGCGGCGGGGCGGGCGCAGCCGCCGCCUCCUCCUGCGCGCGGGGCCGGGGCCGGCGGCCGCGGGCGGGGGGCGGGCGGAGGCGGCCGACCUCCUCCCCCCGAGGGCCGGCCGCCGCCGCUCCCCCUACCCGGCCCUGCCCGCCGCCGGGGCGCGGGGCCGCGCAUCUGGGAGGGCCCGGCCCGGCCGCGGGGGUGCCGACGCGGCGGGGCUCAGGGCGGCCCCGCUCCUUCCC
rnacentral:lncRNA from 1 species